UACGUAGGGUGCGAGCGUUGUCCGGAAUUACUGGGCGUAAAGAGCUCGUAGGUGGUUUGUCGCGUUGUUCGUGAAAUCUCACGGCUUAACUGUGAGCGUGCGGGCGAUACGGGCAGACUUGAGUACUGCAGGGGAGACUGGAAUUCCUGGUGUAGCGGUGGAAUGCGCAGAUAUCAGGAGGAACACCGGUGGCGAAGGCGGGUCUCUGGGCAGUAACUGACGCUGAGGAGCGAAAGCUAGGGGAGCAAACGGG
rnacentral:rRNA from 1 species